GACGAACGCUGGCGGCGUGCCUAAUACAUGCAAGUCGAACGCACUCUCGUUUAGAUUGAAGGAGCUUGCUCCUGAUUGAUAAACAUUUGAGUGAGUGGCGGACGGGUGAGUAACACGUGGGUAACCUGCCCUAAAGUGGGGGAUAACAUUUGGAAACAGAUGCUAAUACCGCAUAAAACCUAACACCGCAUGGUGUAGGGUUGAAAGAUGGUUUCGGCUAUCACUUUAGGAUGGACCCGCGGUGCAUUAGUUAGUUGGUGAGGUAAAGGCUCACCAAGACCGUGAUGCAUAGCCGACCUGAGAGGGUAAUCGGCCACACUGGGACUGAGACACGGCCCAGACUCCUACGGGAGGCAGCAGUAGGGAAUCUUCCACAAUGGACGAAAGUCUGAUGGAGCAACGCCGCGUGAGUGAAGAAGGUUUUUGGAUCGUAAAACUCUGUUGUUGGAGAAGAAUGUAUCUGAUAGUAACUGAUCAGGUAGUGACGGUAUCCAACCAGAAAGCCACGGCUAACUACGUGCCAGCAGCCGCGGUAAUACGUAGGUGGCAAGCGUUGUCCGGAUUUAUUGGGCGUAAAGCGAGCGCAGGCGGUUUCUUAAGUCUGAUGUGAAAGCCUUCGGCUCAACCGAAGAAGUGCAUCGGAAACUGGGAAACUUGAGUGCAGAAGAGGACAGUGGAACUCCAUGUGUAGCGGUGAAAUGCGUAGAUAUAUGGAAGAACACCAGUGGCGAAGGCGGCUGUCUGGUCUGUAACUGACGCUGAGGCUCGAAAGCAUGGGUAGCAAACAGGAUUAGAUACCCUGGUAGUCCAUGCCGUAAACCAUGAGUGCUAGGUGUUGGAGGGUUUCCGCCCUUCAGUGCCGCAGCU
rnacentral:rRNA from 1 species